GAGCCCCAACCCAAACGGCAUAGAUAUAAACACCACAACUCCACACUCCAGGAAGAGGAAUCGAGUCGGAGCCAUAAAUUGAAGGAGAAGCAACACAAUGUCUCCCCCGUUAACAUCAGUAUCGCUCAGCCGGUAUCGGCUGUGACGCUGGUGGCUGCUCCGGUGAGCUCAGAUCUGAGCUCAGGUAAACCCUAGCGACACCUCCCCCAAACAAUUGCUUUGACCGCCCCCCCCCCUCGUGCUACCCCCACCGCACUCCACUUCCUUAUCGCCGCCACCUUGUCGCCUCCCUGUCAAGAAAUUGCCGC
rnacentral:lncRNA from 1 species